GGUGGAGGCGGAAGUGACUGAUCAAUUCAGGGGCGUGGGGUUCGUUUAGGUUUUGCCCUGUGUAUGACCUCGUUUGGAGCCAUGAAACCAGCCUCAAGCUUUAUUCUAGGAAGGUGGCUUUUCUACAAUAUAAAGAUGGAAAUGGGAAGAAGAUGUUCAUUGCAAAUUAAGGAAGCUCUUCCACGAGUUCACGAAUGGAAAUAACAUCAAGAGUUUUUCAUCUUCUUAGUGUGCAAGAUAAAUAUCAAGGAGUGCAAUUCCUGGAUUUAUGAUGUCUGAGGAAUAGUCUUAGUGGAUUAUCCCAAACUUGACACAUUUUUUGCAAAAUGCUAUACAAAAAGAAGAUACAUGCGAUUAUGACAAGAUUCUCCACUUGGUGUGACCAGUCUCAUACAACCCAAGGCUGUGUGUCCAAAGGCAACUGUACUGAUCUUGACAAUAAUCAAAAGGUAGCCAGGUGCAUCGG
rnacentral:lncRNA from 10 species